rnacentral:lncRNA from 1 species
AUAAACCCAAUUUCCAUAUUGGCCCCUGAGCCCAGUUUCCACACUGGCCCCUAAGCCCAGUUUCCACACUGGCCCCUAAGCCUAGUUUCCACACUGGCCCCUAAGCCCAGUUUCCACACUGGCCCAUAAGCCCAGCUCGCCUGGCCCCUAUGCCCAGUUUCUACACUGGCCCGUAAGCCUAGUUUCACCUGGCCCUAAAGCCCAGUUU